AUAAAUAUAGUUUAUAAAAAACAUUAUAUUUUCAUUAUAAAAAUGAUACCUAUCUAUUUAUC
rnacentral:tRNA from 1 species